GAUGAACGCUGGCGGCGUGCCUAACACAUGCAAGUCGAGCGCGAUUAAGUGGAGUGAGGACUUCGGUCUAAGUGAAGCUUAUGAAAGCGGCGGACGGGUGAGUAACGCGUGGGUAACCUGCCCCAUACAAAGGGAUAGCCACUGGAAACGGUGAUUAAUACCUUAUAAGUCGGUAGUCUCGCAUGAGACAGCCGACAAAGAUUUAUCGGUAUGGGAUGGACCCGCGUCUGAUUAGCUAGUUGGUGAGGUAACGGCUCACCAAGGCGACGAUCAGUAGCCGACCUGAGAGGGUGAUCGGCCACACUGGAACUGAGACACGGUCCAGACUCCUACGGGAGGCAGCAGUGGGGAAUAUUGCACAAUGGGCGCAAGCCUGAUGCAGCAACGCCGCGUGAGUGAUGAAGGCUUUCGGGUCGUAAAACUCUGUCCUAUGGGAAGAAAAAAAUAGACGGUACCAUAGGAGGAAGCCCGGCUAACUACGUGCCAGCAGCCG
rnacentral:rRNA from 1 species